AGAGUUUGAUUAUGGCUCAGGAUGAACGCUAGCUACAGGCUUAACACAUGCAAGUCGAGGGGCAGCGAGAAGAAAGCUUGCUUCUUGUCGGCGACCGGCGCACGGGUGAGUAACGCGUAUCCAACCUUCCCCAUAGUAGGGAAUAGCCCGGCGAAAGUCGGAUUAAUGCCCUAUGUUGUAUUAUGAGGACAUCUGAUUAAUACCAAAGAUUCAUCGCUAUGGGAUGGGGGAUGCGUCUGAUUAGGUAGUAGGCGGGGUAACGGCCCACCUAGCCGACGAUCAGUAGGGGUUCUGAGAGGAAGGUCCCCCACAUUGGAACUGAGACACGGUCCAAACUCCUACGGGAGGCAGCAGUGAGGAAUAUUGGUCAAUGGGCGAGAGCCUGAACCAGCCAAGUCGCGUGAAAGGAUGAAGGUUCUAUGGAUUGUAAACUUCUUUUGUCCGAGGGUAAAAAAGGUCACGUGUGACUUCUUGCAAGUAUCGGACGAAUAAGCAUCGGCUAACUCCGUGCCAGCCGCUGC
rnacentral:rRNA from 1 species